UGGAGCAUGUGUGGUCCAAUAUCCUGUUCAA
rnacentral:piRNA from 1 species